rnacentral:SRP_RNA from 1 species
GCUGGGCAUGGGGGCACAUGCCUAUAGUCUCAGCUAUUUGGGAGGCUGAGGCUGGAGGAUCUCUUGAGUCCAGGAGUUCUGGGCUGUAGUGUACUAUGCCAAUCGGGUAUCCACACUAAAUUCAACAUCAAUACGGUGACCUCCUGGGAGCGGGGAACCAGCAGGUUGCCUAAGGGGGGAUGAACCGGCCCAGGUCGGAAACGGAGCAGGUCAAAACUCCUGUGCUGAUCAGUAGUCGGAUGGCACCUAUGAAUAGCCACUGCACUCCAGGCUCGGCAACAUAGNNNNNNNN